rnacentral:tRNA from 1 species
GGAGGGUUGGCAGAAUGGCUAUUGCGCGACUCUCGAAAAGUCGUGGGGGCAACCCCUUGCAGGUUCGAGUCCUGCAUCCUCCGCCA